GCAUAUCAAUAAGCGGAGGAAAAGAAACCAACAGGGAUUGCCCUAGUAACGGCGAGUGAAGCGGCAACAGCUCAAAUUUGAAAUCUGGCUUCGGCCCGAGUUGUAAUUUGCAGAGGAUGUUUCUGGCGCGGUGCCUUCCGAGUUCCCUGGAACGGGACGCCACAGAGGGUGAGAGCCCCGUAUGGUUGGACACUAAGCCUGUGUGAAACUCCUUCGACGAGUCGAGUAGUUUGGGAAUGCUGCUCAAAAUGGGAGGUAAAUCUCUUCUAAAGCUAAAUACCGGCCAGAGACCGAUAGCGCACAAGUAGAGUGAUCGAAAGAUGAAAAGCACCUUGAAAAGGGGGUUAAACAGUACGUGAAAUUGUUGAAAGGGAAGCGCUUGUGACCAGACUUGUGCCGGGCGGUUCAUCCGGGGUUCUCCCCGGUGCACUCCGCCCGGUUCAGGCCAGCAUCGGUUUUCGUUGGGGGAUAAGAACGUCAGGAACGUGGCCCUCCUUCGGGUGGGUGUUAUAGCCUGGCGUACGAUACCCUGACGGGGACCGAGGUUCGCGCUCCGCAAGGAUGCUGGCGUAAUGGUCAUCAGCGACCCGUCUUGAAACACGGACCAAGGAGUCGUCCAUUAGAGCGAGCGUUUGGGUGUCAAACCCGCACGCGUAAUGAAAGUGAAAUUAGGUGAGAGCUUCGGCGCAUCAUCGACCGAUCCUGAUGUUCUCGGAUGGAUUUGAGUAAGAGUUUUAACGGACGGACCCGAAAGACAGUGAACUAUGCUUGUAUAGGGUGAAGCCAGAGGAAACUCUGGUGGAGGCUCGCAGCGGUUCUGACGUGCAAAUCGAUCGUCAAAUAUGAGCAUGGGGGCGAAAGACUAAUCGAACYGUCUAGUAGCUGGUUACCGCCGAAU
rnacentral:rRNA from 1 species